CUGGCUUUAGUUAUGAUGAAACAUUUGUUUUCUUUAAACCUUCUGGAAACAGUCAUGGGAUGCAGGGCACUGAAAAUGCAGCAGGAGUUUCUCCUGAAGAGGUUCACCUGAGCAGCUUUUCAAAGAGAGUGUAAAGCUCAGAGAUCCUACACAUAAUUGCAGCCUCCUGAAUGGUGUUUGCAAAAUCUGGCUAUUAGGUGGGAAGAUAAGGUAGAAAAGAGAAUCUUCACCUCUUGAAGAAAAUGAAAGUUUGUGCCAUAAGCAGAAGUCAAGGCCUGAAAUGUGGCCAUGUCACACAAAUCAAUGGCAGCUUGGCUCUGAGGAGGAACUUUUCCCUUCUGCAUGUGGCUUCUGGAUUACCUUCAUCUGCCUGACCUCACCCAAGGGCGUGGGUGGGACAGCAAAGCCUGCCAGGGGUCAUCAGUGCUUUGCCUUCAUUUCCAGGCACAACACAAGGAACAUGACAUCUGUGAAAAUGUGAGUCACUUGGAAAGCUUUUGGCUCUGAUUUGUCUGUAAAGAUCAUAACAGAGAAACAUCUGCUUCCCACAGUCUGUUACCAAUCUGCAGUGUGCUAAUUAUGGUGUGAUACAUUAAAUGGAGUUCUGAAGCAGUCUGCCCAUAGGACAAGCAUUCAGAUGAUUUAAAAACACUUCAUUAAAAGGAGGUUUUUUAGUA